rnacentral:rRNA from 1 species
AUUGAACGCUGGCGGCAGGCCUAACACAUGCAAGUCGAGCGAGCGGCGGACGGGUGAGAAAUAUAUGGGGACUGCCCGUUAGAGGGGGAUAACUACUGUAAACGGUGGCUACUACCGCAUACUGCAGGAUAACCCACAUGGGAGUAGAUAGUAGGUAUGGUAAUGGCUUACCUGUGCGACGAUCCCUAGCUGGUCUGUGAGGUGGAUCUGCCAAACUGGAACUGAGACACGGGCAAGACUCCUACGGAGGCAGCAGGGGGGAAUAUGGCACAAUGGGCGCAAGCCUGAUGCAGCCAUGCCGCGUGUAUGAAGAAGGCCCUAGGGUUGUAAAGUACUUUCAGUCGGGAGGCGUUACCGACAGAAGAAGCACCGGCUAACUCCGUGCCAGCAGCCGCGGUAAUAC